rnacentral:rRNA from 1 species
UCCUAUUCAACGGCCGCGGUAUUCUGACCGUGCNAAGGUAGCAUAAUCAUUUGUCUUUUAAAUAAAGACUAGUAUGAAUGGCACCACGAAAGCUUAACUGUCUCCCUUGCUUAGUCAAUGAAACUGAUUUUCCCGUACAAAAGCGGGGAUAUUAAAAUAAGACGAGAAGACCCUAUGGAACUUAAAACACGCAAUCACUUUAACUUAAUAUAACAGCAAUAAAUGACUGAACUAUGCUGUUUUUGGUUGGGGCGACCACGGAGCAAAACCCAACCUCCGAGAACACUACCCAGAUAGACACAACAAAGUACCAAAACUUUGGAUUUAAGACCCAAUAAACUUGAUCACCGAACCAAGCUACCCUAGGGAUAACAGCGCAAUCUUCUUCAAGAGCCCUUAUCACCAAGAAGGUUUACGACCUCGAUGUUGGAUCAGGAUGCCCAGACAGUGCAGCCGCCGUCAAAGGUUUGUUUGUUCAACAAUUAAUAAUCCUACGUGAUCUGA